rnacentral:rRNA from 1 species
AGUAACGCGUAGGUAACCUGCCUUGUAGCGGGGGAUAACUAUUGGAAACGAUAGCUAAUACCGCAUAACAAUGGAUGACACAUGUCAUUUAUUUGAAAGGGGCAACUGCUCCACUACAAGAUGGACCUGCGUUGUAUUAGCUAGUAGGUGAGGUAACGGCUCACCUAGGCGACGAUACAUAGCCGACCUGAGAGGGUGAUCGGCCACACUGGGACUGAGACACGGCCCAG